UCCCCGAUGUAUGUUUUUCUGCAUGAUUUACACGGUAUUUCGUAUAUGACGUUGCAUUUGUUGUCCGGUGCUAUUUUGUCUUUCGGGUUCACAAGAACAGAAAGCG